GGUUUAGGUGUGUGACCCCCCCCCCCCCAAAAAAAAAUGGGGGGGGGGGUGAGAGUGUUGGGGGGGUGUGCAGGUAAGGCAGCACCCCCACAGUGAGGGGGGGCAGGUGGAGGGGGUGACCCCCCCCCCCCAAAAUUAAGGGGGGGUCGGUUUGGAGGUUGGGGGGGGCAAUGUGCAGGUAAAGGGAGUGACCCCCCCCCCAAAAAAAAAACAAGGUGUGUGGGGGUCAAUGGACAGGUAAAGGGGGUGACCCCCCCCCAAAAAAUGAGGUGUGGGGGGGUCAAUGAACAGGUAAAAGGGGGUGACACCCCCCCCCCCCAAAAUAAAGGGGGGGUCGGUUUGGAGGUUGGGGGGGGGUCAAUGUGCAGGUAAAGGAGGUGACACCCCCCCAAAAAAAAAUAAGGUGUGUGGGGGGGUCAAUGUGCAGGUAAAGGGGGUGACCCCCCCCAAAAAAAAUGAGGUGUGGGGGGGUCAAUGUGCAGGUAAAGGAGGUGACACCCCCCCCCCAAAAAUAAGGGGGGUCGGUUUGGAGGUUGGGGGGGGUCAAUGUGCAGGUAAAAGGGGUGACCCCCCCCCCCAAAAAAAUGAGGUGUGGGGGGGUCAAUGAACAGGUAAAGGGGGUGACCCCCCCCCAAAAAUUGAGGUGUGUGGGGGGGCUUCAAUGUGCAGGUAAAGGGGGUGACACCCCCCCAAAAAAAAAUGAGGUGUGGAGGGGUCAAUGUGCAGGUAAAGGGGGUGACCCCCCCCCCCAAAAAAAAAUGAGGUGUGUGUGGGUCAAUGGACAGGUAAAGGGGGUGACCCCCCCCCGAAAAAAAAUGAUGUGGGGGGGUGCUCAAUGUGCAGGUAAAGGGGGUGACACCCCCCCAAAAAAAUAUGAUGUGGGGGGGGUCAAUGUACAGGUAAAGGGGGUGACCCCCCCCCAAAAAAUAGGGUGUUGGGGGGGGUCGAUGAACAGGUAAAGGGGGUGACCCCCCCCCAAAAAAAUGAGGUGUGGGGGGGUCAAUGUGCAGGUAAAGGGGUGACCCCCCCCCAAAAAAAUAGGGUGUUGGGGGGGGUCGAUGAACAGGUAAAAGGGGUGACCCCCCCCCAAAAAAAUGAGGUGUGGGGGGGUCAAUGGACAGGUAAAGGGGGUGACCCCCCCCAAAAAAAAUAAGGGGUGUGGGGGUCAAUGGACAGGUAAAGGGGGUGACCCCCCCCCAAAAAAAAAUGAGGUGUGGGGGGGUCAAUGGACAGGUAAAGGGGGUGACCCCCCCCCAAAAAAAAUCAGGUUGGGGGGGUCAAUGUACAGGUAAAGGGGGUGACACCCCCCCCCCAAAAAAAAAUAAGGGGGAGUCGGUUUGGAGGUUGGGGGGGGUCAAUGUGCAGGUAAAAGGGGUGACCCCCCCCCCCAAAAAAUGAGGUGUGGGGGGGUCAAUGUGCAGGUAAAGGGGGUGACCCCCCCCCCAAAAAAAAUGAGGUGUGGGGGGGUCAAUGGACAGGUGAAGUUUGGGACACCCCCCC